rnacentral:rRNA from 2 species
UAGUUAAAACUUUCAACAACGGAUCUCUUGGUUCUGGCAUCGAUGAAGAACGCAGCGAAAUGCGAUAAGUAAUGUGAAUUGCAGAAUUCAGUGAAUCAUCGAAUCUUUGAACGCACAUUGCGCUCCCUGGUAUUCCGGGGAGCAUGCCUGUUCGAGCG